rnacentral:lncRNA from 1 species
GGCGAGGCUAUGAUGAUAUAUUCAGUGAGCCUGAAAAGUCAGACUGGAGGUGAAAUGCUCAAUUUCUUGGCGAGGCAACCUUUUGUUGUUGCAGCCCUGGUGUUGUGGUGUUUCUGUCCUGUCCGAUUUGAAAGCAUAUCUGAUCUGAGCCUUCUCUUUCUAGAGAUUUGUCUGUUUCUGUUUGGGCCUUCCCUUUCUGCAGAUUUCUUUGUUGUUCUGGCCUAUAUCCACUAACUUAUAUUUUGACAACUAAUGGCUGCCUGCUUACUCUUGUAUUUUUCCUGUUUUCCUGAUAGGUAUUAUAUGGCUAGCCAUGAAUAAAAGGGUUAACAUAACAGGUACUUCAGCUUGAUUUUGAACAUUUUUAUAAAAAAACAUUUGCGAUUGCUUUUGCUUGACUUUUGUUAAGCUUGCGGGUGAAUGAUUUAAGUACGAGGCUUUGCUCUCAGUGAGAAGCUGUUGAUUUUAGGGUGGUCUAAUCUGUCCUCUCUGAUAGGUAGCGGAGCCAGUGAUUACUGAUUGCGUUUCUUAUGUUGGCAAGAGCCCUUAUACCAAUAUGUCUACUUUGUUUCUUGGCGAGGCAACCUUUUGUUGUUGCAGCCCUGGUGUUGUGGUGUUUCUGUCCUGUCCGAUUUGAAAGCAUAUCUGAUCUGAGCCUUCUCUUUCUAGAGAUUUGUCUGUUUCUGUUUGGGCCUUCCCUUUCUGCAG